AUGGCCAUACCAUGCUCAAUAUACAGGCUCUCUUUAGAUCACCGAAGUCAAGCAUCAUUGGGCGCGGUCAGUACUUGGGUGGGUGACCACCUGGGAACACCGCGUGCCGUU